CCAAGAAUGAAGACAAGCCAUGCCUCGCUCUGCACUGUGGGCGCUAACCUGCAGACAUGAAGCAGACACCAAAUGUAGCAUUCACAGUCUCUGCAGUGCCAAGAAAGUCUGCAAAGAAUAAACAUCAUUGAUAAUACUGAUGUACUGUCAGUUUAUGAAUUAAAGAAGUCACAGACUGGGUGAAAAAGUAAUAGGAUAUUUACAACCAAAUUGGCUCUGGAAUAAAUACAUAAAAACUAAAGGAGGAAGAAAAAAGCAAGAAUGAAGCCAGAAGGUCAAUUGGAAGGUUUACCAGUUCUAGUUUGAGCAAGACAAUAUUUGAGAAGAUGGCUCCUAUAUAGAUACCUACAUAGUUAGGUCAGUAAUUA